AUAGGAUUGUACAGAGUGCCUCUGGUGAGUUCUUAUGCAUCAUGUUCCUGCCUGAGUGAUCAACAAAAGUUCCCAUCUUUUUUUAGAACGAUCCCAAGUGAUGCUUUUCAGGUGAAUGCUAUGAUUCAGAUACUAAAACG